CCACUGUGACGUAACACGUCAGAAAACGUCAUAGACACCGCCCACUCGGCGAACUGUCUCCGAGCGGAGCCGGGCUGGAUUGGAUUGGACCCCUGGGCGGGAAAGGACGGACGGGUUAAGUAGCCAAUCACCAAUUGCGCUCCAGCCAGAGGGGCGAUGUUCUUGGGGAGCCUGGGGAUCUGGAAGAAGUUCAGUGUGAGGACGAGUGUUAGGAAAUAAGGCUGAAGACAGAGGCAACCCUGGAGGAUCUUCUAACCCAUGUCAAGCAGUUGAGAAUUUAUGGAGUGAAAUAGCAAGCCAUUGAAGAGUUUCAAGCUUUCAUCCAGCUUUUAAGGGAAACUAAUAUCUCAUGAAAUUGUGAGGGCCUGGAAUCUUCAAAGAGCCAAGGAUUCUGCCAGACUGAGCAAUAGACUUGAUGAGCAUUCUCCACUUAAGAUCUGAACUAUGAGAAGUCGAAUCAAAGCAGUUCUUUUGUAAUUCCAAACAGCCAUUUAGACAUAUGAAGAAAUGAAAGUAAAGCAGUUCUAAAGACAAGGAAGAGGGUCAAUGAAAGGUGCUCCCAAUGCAAUCACAAAGAUCUUUAAAAGUGGAAGAAGGUGGGAGAGGUCAGAGUGAUACGAAGAGAACUCAGUCUACCACUGCUGGCUUUGAAGAUGGAAGAAUGGGGCUAUGAGCCCUGGAUUGCGGGCAGCCUGCAGAAGCUGGGGCAGAGAUUCCACACAGGCACCUCUAGAAAAUAAUGCAGCCAGCCAAUCCUUAGACUUUAUCCCAGUGAGAGUCAAGUUGGACUUCUGACCUACAAAAGAGUAAAUAUCUAAAUUAUCUGUGGCAACAACUUGGUGGGGUCAACUCGAAUGUUUUUGUCGGCUGUUCUUGAAGACUUCUGGGUCUCUACAACCACAUUCUUUGGCUGGUGCCAGUGUUUAAGCACUCUGAAACUGCAUAGCAGCAUGUUUGAAGGUGGCCUGUCAAAUUUGGGAAACUGACGGUGUGACUGAGCUAGUCACAGGGGUCUUCACAGAAAAGGCAGUCGGGGUCCUGGUCAACUGGAGAUUCCAUCUGAAUGUGAAUGGAUUUAAAAGGUGACUGGAACACUUCUUUCUGACCUCAGAGAUGUGAUGGAUGUCCGGGAAGAUUUUCUCAAGGGCUAGAAAGUGAAGUCAUUAAGACUAGAGCUCCAGGCUUCUUCAUCCAACUCCAAGGGUUCCCAGCAACAUGUGAAGUCCUCUAUCUGUCACUAAGAAGCCGUAUGAGAAGAAUACACCUUGGCAGCUGCUGGAUCAAGGCAAAUGAGAGACCCAUGGAGCUCACUAAAUCCAACUCUACAGCUUGGAGCUAAGCCUAACUUAGCCAAGUCUAAACCAGUUUGACCUCAGCCAAUUCACAGAUGUUUGAGCCAGAAGUAAGGUGCUUGUUGCUGGAAGCCAGUUAAAUUUUGAGAUCUUUUUGAAAAAUAUAUUGUCAUUGCAGACAUAGAUGCACAUAGUUUUCCACACUGUGGGAAGUCAAAUUAAGCAUGCUUAGACUUUUAAAGCAGAAGCCCAUUAUUAGUGGGGUGGCAAAAAUGUUACAAGUGACAUAGUCCUCCAAUUUCCUUCUUCUAGCCCUCUGCCUAAGAACUAGUGUACUUCAUUUUGAAGUGGAGCCCUAACGGGAGUGUUCAUCUUCUGUCAACAGGGUUAAGCCUCUUGACGCUUACUGGGCACUCACAGUUGUUAGUUCCCUGGAAGACAUGAAAGAGCUUGAUUGGUUCUGUAGUCGUCAGUCAAUAACCAACUGUAACAUACCUACACUUCCAACAAAAUCUUGAUUUGGGAAAUUGAGUGUCUGCUUAUAGUUAAUCCUCUAUUUUUUGACACCUAGUAGGAAAAACAUUUUCAAAAGAGCCAUGACCUGACUCAGUUAAUAUGCAAGGAAAAAUAAGCAGUUCCAAACUUGUCAGUUUAUCCAUCAUCCCUUAUCCAAAAUCCUUCAACUCUCUUGGAAUUAUUUUGUUCUUCAUACUUGCCCAACAAAUAUCUUACUCUUGUCUUGGACUUUAUUUUAUAGUUAUCUCACAUAAGCUCCUUGUGGCUAAGGGCACAUAUUUGGAAUCAGACUACCCUAGUUCAACUCUUGGGUCUACCAUUUAUUAGCUUGUAUUACUUUGGGAAAGAUAAUUAAAUUCUCCAGAUCUAAUUUCCCCCAUUAUAAGAUAAUAAUAGUUAUUACCUGCUAGGAUUGUCUUGAGAAGUAAAUUAGAUAAUUCAUAAGAACCAUUUAACACAGUGCCAGCCACAUAAUGAAGGCAUAGUAAGGGAAAGUUAUUAUGCUGUUGAUAAUACUUGUCUAGGCAGGGGUCUCAUAUUUUUCCCUGUAUCCAUUACUGUACAAUUCAUCUGUCCCAUGACAUUCUAAGAUUGUUUUAGAGUGAGUUGCUUCAGAGUUGAAUAAUUCUAAUAAUAUAUUCUCAUGUUUGGAAACAACUUGGAAUUCCAUUUAGUGUAGACAUCAACAAUGAAAUCGCUAGAGGAUGAGUAAUUUCUACAAUUUUUAUUCAUUAUAGAGAGACCAAUGGGUAUAAUGGUGAAAAGAACUGAGUAGAAGGUCAGGAGGUCAAAGAGACUGAGUUUAAACCCUCACUCUGCUGAGUACUGUUAAUAAUGGUAUGAUCUUAAGAGAACUAAUCUUUAGUUUUUCCCACCUUAAAAACAGAGUUGUCAUGAGUAUUUAAUAAUAGAGGGUAGUAUGUAAACUUCCUGGCAUAUAGCAACUGCUCAACAAAUAGAAGUUAUAGUUUUUUCUUAACUUGCCAAAGAGCCAAGGGAAAAAUGAAGAUUUUGUAGCCAAAGCCAUUUAUCUUUCUCUGUUAUGUGCCUAUCUGUUCCAGAAACAGAAUCAAUUCCUUGAACCUCAUCAAAGGAAGGAUUUGAACAUUUAAAAAAAAAUCAAUCUCUUUGGGUUUGUUAUUGCUUGUUUCCCAUACCUCAGAGACACAAAUACAAACCUUUAUAAUGUCAUCAGGAAGAAGAGGAGUCAAACACUCCUUAACUCAAUAAUUGCAAUGUUAUUAUUUUGCAAGGAAUAGAGUCAAAAUUCCAUUCACAUGAGGACUGUAACUUCUUCAUUACUCCUUGAGGCACGAUGUCCUUGAUUUUAAGUAGCUCAUGUAGAAACUAGUUGUAAGUCUUUAGCGGAGAGACUGUACUGGAAUUAUAGGAUCUACUUAGGGGUUUGAGCUUCCCCACCCACUUAGAGUGACAGUUCACACCUAUAAAAACACAAAAGUCCGGGGGUUUAUUAAACAUUAGGAGAUCCAAAGAGCCAAGACUUCUACCUGUAAAAGUGGUGCUUCCUAAGCAGAAGAAAUGGAAUUUCUCAGAGAAUACAGCUUGGCUUGACCAAUGGACUGUACAAGGAAGAUUAGGAGGUAAUUACUGGGGUAAAAGAGAAAUGGUUGCAUCUUUCUGGAACACUCUAAUAAAACUGAAAGUUUUUCCUGAUUUCUUCUUUUAUUUGAUACAAGGGUCAAAUUUGAUACAUAAAGUCAUAAUGUCCCACAUGUACUUCUCAGGAACAUCUGUUUAGUCCUACUACAAAACUUGGGGAACAUGGUUUCCUAAUGUGGUACCAGUCGUCUCUUCAUGGAUGACUUCAGGAAGAAAUUCUGACUGGCAGACUCCACAAGUAUAAGACAAUAAGAGGCCAAUUUCUUUAUUCUUCUCCUCUUCUCCGCUUGUCCCCCCACCUCAUUAGCUUUGGGAGAAUAACACAGUGUGGAACAGAAAAAUAAGGAGCCUUGUUGUACUUCAUUGGCCUCAAGAGGUCUCAUCUAUUAAAUAGAUCCAUUAUGUUACUCUCAGAGAAAAUUAUAGUCAAAAAUAUUUCAAGUUUUAGGGCAGUACUGAAUAUAUAAGGGCUCUGUUACUUAAUCUCUGUGCUCUUAUCUUGGGGCGGCAAAGCUCAGUAGGGCUAUCUUGAAAGUAGCCUGAAAUCAAUUGGUCAGAUGAAAUCAAUUGGUCAGGAGGAGCCCAUCAGGAGGAUCAAGGACAUGGGUGACACAGUGAGUGUAAUUAUUAGUCAGGAUAGGUUAGGUUAGGCAUUAGUGGCAAAUUAUCUCCAAAUCUCAGUGGCUUGGUACAAUAAAGGCUUAUUGCUUAUUCAUGCAGCAUGUCUACUGCAGGUCCACAAGGGCUCUGUUCCACUCACAGAUCCAGAUUGUAACAUUCUUUGCCAUCUCAUAGCUACAUGAUCUAAACAUCAGCAGAAGGAAAGUGUCUUGGGUCAGGCUACCUGGAAAACAGAUCAAGAUAAAGAUUUCUGUGCAAAAAGGUUAUUGGGGAGGGAACUCUAAUUGAUAUCUGCCAGGGAUAGUGCAAGAAUGGUUGAGCAGACAAUUGUUGAACUACUUACUAUGUAUGUAGUAACAACAAAGGUCUUGACCAACCCAAAAGGGAGUCCUGGAGCUCAAAUGGUUCUUCACAGUUCUCUCACCUUAAGGCAAGGGACCUGGGCCUUUAUUAUCCCUUAUCAACCAGUCAUUUGAUUAGCUUGACCCCAGAGAGAGGUUAUGACCUUGAGUAAAGUGGCUCUCCUCUACUGAGGAUAAUUCCAGGAGAGCAACUCAGCUGAGAGCUGUCAGCAAUGGGAGGAAUCAGAGUCUCAGUCCUGAAGAGCAGAUCUGGGCAGCAUAUCAUAGCAUCCACCACAAGGGGGAAAGUGCGUGCACUUUUCAUUGCCUCCACCUGGGAGUGACAUAUGCCAUUUUUUGCUGUCAUUUCAAUGACCAAAAGGAGUCACAUGAUUCUAAUUGGAAGGAACCUGGG
rnacentral:lncRNA from 1 species